CCGAAGCUAAUACCGGAUAGGAUCUUCUCCUUCAUGGGAGAUGAUUGAAAGAUGGUUUCGGCUAUCACUUACAGAUGGGCCCGCGGUGCAUUAGCUAGUUGGUGAGGUAACGGCUCACCAAGGCAACGAUGCAUAGCCGACCUGAGAGGGUGAUCGGCCACACUGGGACUGAGACACGGCCCAGACUCCUACGGGAGGCAGCAGUAGGGAAUCUUCCGCAAUGGACGAAAGUCUGACGGAGCAACGCCGCGUGAGUGAUGAAGGCUUUCGGGUCGUAAAACUCUGUUGUUAGGGAAGAACAAGUACAAGAGUAACUGCUUGUACCUUGACGGUACCUAACCAGAAAGCCACGGCUAACUCCGUGCCAGCAGCCGCGGUAAUACGUAGGUGGCAAGCGUUAUCCGGAAUUAUUGGGCGUAAAGCGCGCGCAGGCGGUUUCUUAAGUCUGAUGUGAAAGCCCACGGCUCAACCGUGGAGGGUCAUUGGAAACUGGGGAACUUGAGUGCAGAAGAGAAAAGCGGAAUUCCACGUGUAGCGGUGAAAUGCGUAGAGAUGUGGAGGAACACCAGUGGCGAAGGCGGCUUUUUGGUCUGUAACUGACGCUGAGGCGCGAAAGCGUGGGGGAGCAAACAGGAUUAGAUACCCUGGUAGUCCACGCCGUAAACGAUGAGUGCUAAGUGUUUAGAGGGUUUCCGCCCUUUAGUGCUGCAGCUAACGCAUUAAGCAACUCGCCUGGGGGAGUACGGGUCGCAAGACUGAAACUCAA
rnacentral:rRNA from 2 species